GACGAACGCUGGCGGCGUGCCUAAUACAUGCAAGUCGAGCGGAAGUUGAAGAGCUUGCUCUUCAACUUUAGCGGCGGACGGGUGAGUAACACGUGGGCAACCUGCCCUGCAGAUCGGGAUAACUCCGGGAAACCGGUGCUAAUACCGAAUAGUUUUCGCCACCUCCUGGUGGCGUACGGAAAGACGGUUUCGGCUGUCACUGCAGGAUGGGCCCGCGGCGCAUUAGCUAGUUGGUGGGGUAACGGCCCACCAAGGCGACGAGGCGUAGCCGACCUGGGAGGGUGAUCGGCCACACUGGGACUGAGACACGGCCCAGACUCCUACGGGAGGCAGCAGUAGGGAAUCUUCCGCAAUGGACGAAAGUCUGACGGAGCAACGCCGCGUGAGUGACGAAGGUUUUCGGAUCGUAAACCUCUGUUGUGAGGGAAGAACAAGUACCAACUAACUACUGGUACCUUGACGGUACCUCACCAGAAAGCCACGGCUAACUACGUGCCAGCAGCCGCGGUAAAAC
rnacentral:rRNA from 1 species